rnacentral:rRNA from 1 species
GAUUAUCAACUUUCGAUGGUAGGAUAGAGGCCUACCAUGGUGGUAACGGGUAACGGGGUGUUAGGGCACGACACCGGAGAGGGAGCCUGAGAAACGGCUACCACAUCCAAGGAUGGCAGCAGGCGCGCAAAUUACCCAAUCCCGACACGGGGAGGUAGUGACAAUAAAUAACAAUACGGGGUUCUUUAGGAUUUCGUAAUUGGAAUGAGUACAAUUUAAAUCUCUUAACGAGGAACAAUUGGAGGGCAAGUCUGGUGCCAGCAGCCGCGGUAAUUCCAGCUCCAAUAGCGUAUAUUAAAGUUGUUGCAGUUAAAAAGCUCGUAGUUGAAUUUCGGGAUCAAUAUGUUGGUCGUGCCUCGGUACGUACUAGCAUAUUGGUUUCUCCUUUCUGAAGAACCAUGAUGUCAUUUAUUUGGUGUCGUGGGGAAUCAAGACUGUUACUUUGAAAAAAUUAGAGUGUUUAAAGCAGGCUCACGCUUGAAUACAUUAGCAUGGAAUAAUGAAAUAGGACGUUUGACUCUAUUUUGUUGGUUUCUAGGAUCGACGUAAUGAUUAAUAGGGAUAGUUGGGGGCAUUAGUAUUCAAUUGUCAGAGGUGAAAUUCUUGGAUUUAUUGAAGACUAACUACUGCGAAAGCAUUUGCCAAGGAUGUUUUCAUUAAUCAAGAACGAAAGUUAGGGGAUCGAAGACGAUCAGAUACCGUCGUAGUCUUAACCAUAAACUAUGCCGACUAGGGAUCGGAUGAUGUUAAUUUUUUAAUGACUCAUUCGGCGCCUUACGGGAAACCAAAGUGUUUGGGUU